rnacentral:rRNA from 1 species
AAACUAACAAGGAUUCCCCUAGUAACGGCGAGUGAAGCGGGAAGAGCUCAAAUUUGUAAUCUGGCACUUUCAGUGUCCGAGUUGUAAUCUCGAGAAGUAUUUUCCGCGCCGGACUGCAUACAAGUCUGUUGGAAUACAGCGUCAUAGUGGUGAGAACCCCGUAACUGAUGCAGAUGCCCGGUGCUUUGUGAUAUACUUUCGAAGAGUCGAGUUGUUUGGGAAUGCAGCUCAAAUUGGGUGGUAAAUUCCAUCUAAAGCUAAAUAUUGGAGCAAGACCGAUAGCGAACAAGUACCGUGAGGGAAAGAUGAAAAGCACUUUGGAAAGAGAGUUAACAGUACGUGAAAUUGUUGGAAGGGAAACGCUUGAAGUCAGACUUGCUAUUCGGAGUUCAGCCGCAAGGUGUAUUCUUCGAUUUGCAGGCCAGCAUCAGUUUUCGGGGGUGGAAAAUCGUGGUUUGAAGGUAGCAACUUCGGUUGUGUUAUAGCUUUCCACUGGAUUCAUCUUUGGGGACUGAGGAACGCAGUACGCUUUUGCAAGGCCCUCGGGCUUCGUACUAGG